UACGGAGGAUGCAAGCGUUAUCCGGAAUGAUUGGGCGUAAAGCGUCCGCAGGUGGCUGUGUAAGUCUGCUGUCAGAGAGCGAAGCUCAACUUCGUAAAGGCAGUGGAAACUACACGGCUAGAGUGCGUUCGGGGCAGAGGGAAUUCCUGGUGUAGCGGUGAAAUGCGUAGAGAUCAGGAAGAACACCGGUGGCGAAGGCGCUCUGCUAGGCCGCAACUGACACUGAGGGACGAAAGCUAGGGGAGCGAAUGGG
rnacentral:rRNA from 1 species